ACGACUAAAAAGUACUCUAUGACAGAUUAUGACAUUGACUUGACAAGCUGACAACUAAGUGACAUAAGAUGAUAAGAAAAAUUCUAACUUUGAAGGUUGUUUGUUGAUGUUUAGAUUUACCUUACUUUUAACUAUAAAUUUACAUUAAAUGUUAUUUAUAGAAAGUUUAUAUAUAAUUAUAGAAUAUAAUAUAAGAAAGUUUAUAACAAGUCUUUUUGGUCUAGAGCUUACAAUCUUGUCGUCUUUCGAAUGUUUCCCACUAGCAGGAAGAGAAGAUGUAGUACAAGCAGCAUCAGGAACGGGUAUUGCAUCAACAUCUGCAAUGCAGGUUGCUCGGUAGCGGGAGCCAUUUGGUCCAAUUAUGAAAAUACAGCCGUCUCUAGUCCAGCACUUAUCGAUACCGAAACGCUUACGGGCAGACAUAAAAGCAUUGUGCCGUUGCUUGGUCAGAAACUCGGAUAGAGUAAUACCCGAGCCUUUUAAGGAGACUUUAUUUGACCACAACUUAUCUCGGAGUUUCACAUCACUUAGCUUUAAAAAGAUUGGUCUAGGUUUGCUGUCCUGCAUUCGACCCAAACGAUGGCAACGAUUAAUGGACUCUUCAGAGAAAUUUGGAAGUUUGAAAUGCUUGGAGAUAAGAUCACACACAAGAACUGACGGAUUCUCUUGACUCUUUUCAGGAACACCGUGAAUGAGUAACAUUUUGCGUCUACUUCUGGUUUCUUGUUGAUCAUAUAGCUUCAUCAAAAUUUCCAGUUGGGACUGCAGGCAAUCAAGAGAUGUGGUGACAAAUGCACGGAACAAGUUGAACUCGGCAGCAAUUUGAGUGGAUGUAUCAGUGCUUACAGGGGCUGGAUUUUCCAGAUUCUUCUGGAACUCUGCCAUCCUCUUGUUAAAAGUGACCGUCAAGUCAACCAUGGACUGUUUCAGUGAUUCUAUAGAUGUCAUGUUUGGAUAAAUAUUAUGUUCUAGUGAAAUUGUUGUUAAGCAGUUUAUUCAAUUGAAAUUUUUAAGUGGAUAUUAAAGCUGGUAGGUACAGAAUA